rnacentral:rRNA from 1 species
UACGUAGGGGGCAAGCGUUGUCCGGAAUUAUUGGGCGUAAAGAGCGUGUAGGCGGCCUGACAAGUCUGCUGUGAAAACUCGAGGCUCAACCUCGAGAUGUCGGCGGAAACUGUCUGGCUAGAGUCCGGGAAGAGGAGAGUGGAAUUCCUGGUGUAGCGGUGAAAUGCGCAGAUAUCAGGAAGAACACCUAUGGCGAAGGCAGCUCUCUGGGACGGUACUGACGCUGAGACGCGAAAGCGUGGGGAGAAACAGG